rnacentral:lncRNA from 1 species
GCGACUUCUACCAUUGUCUUAAAUAUAUUUAAUGGUCUCGUUGCAAAAGCUAAAUUGUCGCAAGGGAACUUUUAUUUAUUUAUUUUAUUUCUCCUUUAUUUAACCCGGGUAGCGAAGAUUAUAGCAAACACCACUGAAACUGAAUUGGUGCUCGCUAGCUUUGCAAAUUCAGCUAUUGUUGGAAGCCAGCCAAUAUGAAACAAACUAUUAAAAUUACAAAAGGUUGCAGCAUAUGUUGUGUAAAUGGUGAACUCAUACAGCUGUCAACUCUUGUCAUUUUAAUCCGUUUCACAUUUGCUAGCUACCUUUUAGAUCGAAGCCCAAAUAGAAUGAUAGAAGAUGAUAGAAGCCCAUCUCCUACUGUAAAUAACCUACACACUGUGUGUGUGUGUAGCCAGCCAGCCAGUCAGGUAGAAAAAUGGCAGAAAAAUAAAAGACGGACAUCAGAGUAUUUUUCAGUACACCAAAACGCAAAGCAGAGCAGGCAACAGAUGGCACACAGACAGCAGAGUUGGGGACAGCUAUGCAGGGACAGACUGGCAGAGACAGGGAGUCUCAGACAACCGGGACAUCUUUCUGGAGUGGAUUCUAGAUACAGAAACAUAAUUCCUUUGCCUGCUUGUGUCAUUGUAGGUGAAUUGUAUAGGGAUAGGAUUUGACAUUGUGCUCGAUUUCAAGCAGAUGAAUUUCAGGAGCUGAAUGGUAGUUUGAUCAUACAGUAGCACUCCUCCCACAGCUUUACAAGUAUUCCCUAAAUUUACUUUAUGUUUCUUUGGAAUGGCAAGCAUACCCAGCAUACCUCCAGCAGAAGGAUUGGCCUGCUAGAGUUGUAAUACGUUUGUAGCCUGCGUUGUGUCUGCCUUUUAUACAACAUUUGCUAACAUAAGUACACAUAAAACCCAUGGCAUACAAGGAUGUAAGUUUCCUCUUUUACCUUUAUAAACUCAACUUUCGUUUCUUAAUAUCUGUAUUCAUUAUACUAUUGUUAUUAUUUCCGCUACAAGACCAUGGUGAUUGCCUACGGAGCUGUGAAGGGAACGGCACCUCCAUACCUUCAGGCUCUGAUCAGGCCCUACACCCAAACAAGGGCACUGCGUUCAUCCACCUCUGGCCUGCUGGCCCCCCUACCUCUGAGGAAUCACAGUUCCCGCUCAGCCCAGUCAAAACUGUUCGCUGCUCUGGCACCCCAAUGGUGGAACAAGCUCCCUCACGACGCCAGGACAGCGGAGUCAAUCACCACCUUCCGGAGACACCUGAAACCC